rnacentral:sRNA from 1 species
AAAAAUAUGACAACAAAAAGAUAAAUAAUCAUAUAUAUGAAAGUUGGCCAACUCUCUCUAUAUGAAUGACACGUCAUCACACAAGAAAAUGACAUGUGUUAUUUUAU